UCCCCCAGUAACGGCGAGUGAAGAGGGAAUAGCCCAGUGCCGAAGCCUUUGGUCGUUUGACCAUUAGGCAAUGUGGUGUUUGGGCGAGUUCGCGGGGGCACUGCUCCACUCUGAGUCCAGCAAUGAGUACGGCAGCUUGCACGUGGCCCAUGGAGGGUGAAAGGCCCGUAAGGGUGGAGUUCAGUCAGGCCAGUGCUCCUCUGAAUUCGCCUCGGAGUCGGGUUGUUUGGGAAUGCAGCCCAAAGUGGGUGGUAAACUCCAUCCAAGGCUAAAUAGUAGCACGAGUCCGAUAGCGAACAAGUACCGUGAGGGAAAGUUGAAAAGUACUUUGAAGAGAGAGUAAACAGUGCGUGAAACCGCUCAGAGGUAAACGGGUGGAGUUGAACUGCAUACUUUGUGAACUCAGCCGGUGAGGGUGAUUUGGGCUUGGUCAAACAGGUUAGAGGCCGAGGUAUACCGAGAAUUGUAUGUCCCAAUCGGAUUGGUUGGGAUGCACGCUACGCUCAUCAUGCGUUGUGCGCCUCGCGUGUUUCACGACUCUGCCUCCUUGCCGGUGCAUUUUCACUGAGUGAUCACCACGACCGGCGUCAGGCUGUCAGGCUGUGUACUCGGUCAAACUGACCUUCCAACGUCCGUCCGUGGCGUUGUUUGGUCGGGAUGGCAGGUGGCCCGUUUGCUUGCCCGUUUGCCCGGGCUUGCGUUCGGGUGUAAUUUAGCCGACCGAAGCGGCACCGUGCAGCACGUCGGAGAUGGCGGCUUGUGCGCGUUGGCUCAUGCAACUCAUCAGCUGUCGGAGCCCGGAUUGGUUGCUACGUUGCCUGCCUUUGGCGGGCCGAGUAAUAUCCGGGAUUCGUGUCGCGGUUGGUGUAUGUGUGAGUGGCGCCCGUGUGUGCGUGCGUCGAUGCGCGCGUACGUGCGCGUUGGGCCCAUAGUCUGUGGUGUUGUGGUAGACGAUCCAUCCGACCCGUCUUGAAACACGGACCAAGGAGAGUAACAUGUGCGCGAGUCAUUGGGUGCUACGAAACCGAAAGGCGCAGUGAAAGUGAAGGUCUGGCUCAAUUGGUAGUUUGAUGGUGGUGGCGGUGGUAGUGUGAUGGUGGUGGUGAUGAUGAUGAUGAUGAUAGCGGCGGUAGUAAUUGUAAUUAAUUAUUAUUGCUACUAUUGUUAUUGUUAUCGUUAUUGUCAUUGUUACUAUUGUUGCCAUUGUCGUCGUUGCUAAUUUGGUCCAGUCUGUGGUGAGAUCCUGUCGUUUCCGUGUCCACAUACGCACACGCCAAAUGCCACCAAGCAUAGAGCGGCAGGCGCAUCACCGGCCCGUUCCAUGGUGUGGACACAGUGUCCAAAUGGGAUUCCAAAAAAAUCCGGUUCUCGGACACUUGUGCAUCGCCGGGGCGGAGCAAGAGCGCACAUGUUGAGACCCGAAAGAUGGUGAACUAUGCUUGCGCAGGUUGAAGCCAGAGGAAACUCUGGUGGAGGACCGCAGCGAUUCUGACGUGCAAAUCGAUCGUCAAACGUGAGUAUAGGGGCGAAAGAC
rnacentral:rRNA from 1 species